rnacentral:rRNA from 1 species
GGCGGACGGGUGAGUAACGCGUGAGUAAUCUGCCCUUUACAGGGGGAUAACACAGGGAAACUUGUGCUAAUACCGCAUAAAGUAUCGAUAUGGCAUCAUAUUGAUACCAAAGGAGAAAUCCGGUAGAGGAUGAACUCGCGUCCGAUUAGCUAGUUGGUGGGGUAAAGGCCUACCAAGGCGACGAUCGGUAGCCGAACUGAGAGGUUGAUCGGCCACAUUGGGACUGAGACACGGCCCAGACUCCUACGGGAGGCAGCAGUGGGGAAUAUUGCGCAAUGGGGGAAACCCUGACGCANCAACGCCGCGUGGAGGAUGAAGGUUUUCGGAUUGUAAACUCCUUUGAUCGGGGAAGAAAAAAAUGACGGUACCCGAAAAACAAGCCACGGCUAACUACGUGCCAGCAGCCGCGGUAAUACGUAGGUGGCGAGCGUUGUCCGGAAUUACU